GCCUUCCAGAGACAGGCACCAAUCCCUCAUUGAAGCAGUAGCCUGGGCUGCGAUCCAACCGCCCCAAGAUUCUGCUACAGUGGAAGAGAGCCCAGGGAAAUCGCCAGCUACUGUGGUUUAGUCCCACUGCUUCCAGAAAGGAUUGUUCAGACCUAGAAGGGUGAAGAAGACUCCCUCCAGUCCAGGCACGGUCUGGGUGACGGCACCCCAGGGCACAGGCCCAGCUGGGGCAGCUAGGAUGCAGCUGAUGGUCUUGGCACCUGGCCUCCACUUGCCAGCAGGGCCCCCAAGAAGGAGCUGCAGUAUCUCCAGUUAUUUUAGGGUGGCUACAGAAGAUGUUAUUUGUAUUGCCACUGUGUCUGAGGAAUAGUACAUAAAGUACAUAAAGUGUGCUGGAGAUGGUCCAGGGCAAAUUCAUCAGACUGAAACUUGGUUUCUUCCAGGCUGAGGAUCUGUGUGCCUCUGUUGUGGCUUCUGCAAACCCCAGUGCAUCCAGCCAUACCAAUUCCACAGAACACCCUACUAGCCACUCCCAGGAUCAUACAAGUAAAUUUCUGGAAACCAGACCAGGUCUAGGGACCCACCAUACAGUACACAAGUUUCAAAUGAAAAGAGAUAAAAAUUAUUUUCAAAAUAUAUAAGGUAUCAACAAUGUAACAUCAUCAUUGAAAGUGUUUGUAAUCUCUUUGUAGAUCUGAGUUGAUCCCAAGUGUUAAUGGGCCAGGCCUCUUUUAUGAUGAUUAUACCACAAACCACCUCAGAGGGCAGGCCAGGUUAUGGGUUGGAGAUACCACUAAAAAAAUAUAAAAUCCCUUCAAGUUCACCAAUAAUCAUUGCAUGCUUGUAUUAAAAUUACCAAGCAAAUAAACACUAUGGAAUGUGUCUAAUGAAAAUUAUGUGAAAACAGCCCAAUUUCUAUCUCACCAUUUCAAAUAUGAGGUGGUUGGAACAGGAGCAGUCAUCUUUGAACCAGGAGGCAGUGAAUGAUAGCAGACACCCUGUCAUCUAAAGGCUAUUAAACCAUCACCAACAGC